rfam:Auxenochlorella protothecoides strain 0710 contig1223, whole genome shotgun sequence.
GGGUGUGUAGCUCAGUUGGUAGAGCACCGGGCUUUUAACCUGAUGGUCGUAGGUUCGAGACCUAUCAUACCCA